GGUUGUGUGGUGUAAUGGUAGCACGUAUCGUUGUGGAUUUAAUAAAACCCUAAUGCCCCGAUACAAUCGCGGUUCGAUUCCGUGCACAGCCA